rnacentral:tRNA from 1 species
GUGGGUGUAGCUUGGUGGUAGAGUGCAUGAUUAACAUGCAUGAGGUCCUGGGUUCAAUCUCCAGUACCUCCA